UACGUAGGGGGCAAGCGUUGUCCGGAAUCAUUGGGCGUAAAGCGCGUGUAGGCGGCUGAGUAAGUCUGCUCUGAAAGCCCGGGGCUCAACCCCCGGGAGGCGGGUGGAUACUGCUCAGCUCGAGUCCGGAAGAGGAGUGUGGAAUUCCUGGUGUAGCGGUGAAAUGCGCAGAUAUCAGGAGGAACACCAAUGGCGAAGGCAGCACUCUGGGACGGUACUGACGCUGAGGAGCGAAAAGCGUGGGGAGCGAACAGG
rnacentral:rRNA from 1 species